rnacentral:ncRNA from 1 species
GUGUUUGAUGAGAAAGGGCCAGUACUUUCCUGGACAAGGAGGGGAGAGGCCCUGGACCUGGCAACACAUAUACGGUUAAGUCGCCGACUUUGCAGCAUCUAACCAUGGUUUUUA